GGCCACUUCAAAAUGAUCAGUAUAGAGAAGACCUCAAGCAACUUUCAUCAAUCUCAUUAGCCAUAAGGCCCUUGCAAAUUAUAGACUCAGAAUUACUGGGUAAGAAAACAACAACAAUCCGAAACAAAUUCCUAGUGCAAGGACUUGAUAUAAAAAGACUUUCUGAAAGAGUUAGAUAGGACACCUAAUUUGAUUAGUAGCCAUGAUAUCACUCAACCCUUCUUAAAAACCAACUCUUGGACUUUUUGUGCUAUAUUUUCCUGGAGGAAUCUUCAAGAGUAUAGUGUGAUUAUCAUCACCUACUAUAAUUUUUAACAAUUUGUUAUAGUUUCUCCUUCCAUGAACACCCAUUGUCCUUAAUAAAAAAAGUUGCAGCAACUACUUGCAUAAAGCCCAAAAGAUUGUCACGAGGUACAAACAAAAUAAGCUUUAAAUACCACAUAACACCUGCCUAAGUGUAAAGUAUAAAGUUCGUCUUUCAAUUACAAUGAUUGCACGAUAACAGGUAAAUCAGGGCAUGUAAACAACUUAUGCCCAGAUGCCUCAAAGAUUCCACAUUCAUGGUAUAAAUAUUCUCAGUCACAAAUGGGUAAAUUAAGUUAUGAGUGCUUCUCAAAUCAAUAAGAAAUGUAACAGGCCCACCACCGAUCAGCACCUUCAUCAGUAUCAAUUCAAGGAUAGCCUUCCAAUUAUGGCAUGUAAAGAAAUCUUUAACUGAAUAAUUGGUAAUGGCUCUUGACGCUCCACCAGCUCCUUAUACAAGUAAUUACCCAAAAAUAAGUGUUGCAUUUUCUUCAGUAUGUGCCACUCAUUUUAUGGGAGACUUAUCUACUAGAGUUCUAGCAAUAAAGUAAAGGUCCGGUAGACAAAGACCAUCUCAGGCACUUGGUGUAGAACAAACUAGUACUCUUUCUGCUCUAAAGAUAACCCAAUAGCAGCCGCCAUGGUAGUCAGAUGGUCUAAAGGAACAUCACAGUUCAAAUCCCACUUAAGGCUUCUAGUGAAGCAGCUUAAAAAAAUAAAAAAAAAGAAUCUCACCAGUCCCAUUGUGUGAAUAGUCAGAUGCUCAAAGUGCAAUUGGUAUGUGGAAAUGGGGCUUGUUGAAAUUUUUUCAACUCCACCGAGCAAUCCUCAUGUAUGCUCAGCUUGAAUCGCAUGUAAAGAACCUCAACGAACUCUCUCCACGUGAUAGGCCCCUGUUUUUUUUCCCCAACCACUAAAACCUAUUAGGAAACUGUCUUCUGAAUAUCCAUAGAAGCUAACAGGAGAUUUCAGGUGCAGCAUCAGAAUAAAUUUCAAAAAUUGAAUACCCAUCCAUCAGAAUCUUCUCC
rnacentral:lncRNA from 1 species